CCCCUUUCAGUAGGGAAGAAGCGAAAGUGACGGUACCUGCAGAAGAAGCGCCGGCUAACUACGUGCCAGCAGCCGCGGUAAUACGUAGGGCGCAAGCGUUGUCCGGAAUUAUUGGGCGUAAAGAGCUCGUAGGUGGCUUGUCGCGUCUGCCGUGAAAACCCGAGGCUCAACCUCGGGCGUGCGGUGGGUACGGGCAGGCUAGAGUGUGGUAGGGGAGACUGGAACUCCUGGUGUAGCGGUGAAAUGCGCAGAUAUCAGGAAGAACACCGAUGGCGAAGGCAGGUCUCUGGGCCAUUACUGACACUGAGGAGCGAAAGCAUGGGUAGCGAACAGGAUUAGAUACCCUGGUAGUCCAUGCCGUAAACGUUGGGCACUAGGUGUGGGGGACAUUCCACGUUUUCCGCGCCGUAGCUAACGCAUUAAGUGCCCCGCCUGGGGAGUACGGCCGCAAGGCUAAAACUCAAAGGAAUUGACGGGGGCCCGCACAAGCGGCGGAGCAUGCUGAUUAAUUCGAUGCAACGCGAAGAACCUUACCAAGGCUUGACAUGCACCGGACGGCCGCAGAGAUGUGGCUUUCUUCGGACUGGUGCACAGGUGGUGCAUGGUUGUCGUCAGCUCGUGUCGUGAGAUGUUGGGUUAAGUCCCGCAACGAGCGCAACCCUUGUUCUAUGUUGCCAGCACGUGAUGGUGGGGACUCAUAGGAGACUGCCGGGGUCAACUCGGAGGAAGGUGGGGACGACGUCAAAUCAUCAUGCCCCUUAUGUCUUGGGCUUCAAGCAUGCUACAAUGGUCGGUACAAUGGGUUGCGAAACUGUGAGGUGGAGCGAAUCCCAAAAAGCCGGCCUCAGUUCGGAUUGGGGUCUGCAACUCGACCCCAUGAAGUCGGAGUCGCUAGUAAUCGCAGAUCAGCAACGCUGCGGUGAAUACGUUCCCGGGCCUUGUACACACCGCCCGUCAAGUCACGAAAGUCGGUAACACCCGAAGCCAGUGGCCCAUCCU
rnacentral:rRNA from 1 species